GUCCGCACCGUAAACGAUGGUCACUAGAUGUCGGGGGAUUCGACCCCUUCGGUAUCGACGCUAACGCAUUAAGUGACCCACCUGGGGAGUACGCUCGCAAGGGUGAAACUCAAAGGAAUUGACGGGGGCCCGCACAAGCGGUGGAGCAUGUGGUUUAAUUCGAUGCAACGCGAAGAACCUUACCUGGGCUCGAAGUGUGAUGUAAACUCGUGAAAGCGGGGUAUCCCUUCGGGGACGUCAUAUAGGUGCUGCAUGGCUGUCGU
rnacentral:rRNA from 1 species